rnacentral:rRNA from 1 species
GUAGGGAAUAUUGGGCAAUGGAGGCAACUCUGACCCAGCCAUGCCGCGUGCAGGAUGACGGCCCUCUGGGUUGUAAACUGCUUUUAUACGGGAAGAAAAAAUACUACGUGUAGUAUACUGACGGUACCGUAAGAAUAAGGAUCGGCUAACUCCGUGCCAGCAGCCGCGGUAAUACGGAGGAUCCAAGCGUUGUCCGGAUUUAUUGGGUUUAAAGGGUGCGUAGGCGGAUCUUUAAGUCAGUGGUGAAAGCCUGCAGCUUAACUGUAGAAUUGCCAUUGAAACUGAAGAUCUUGAAUGUGGUUAAAGUAGGCGGAAUGUAUCAUGUAGCAGUGAAAUGCUUAGAUAUUAUACAGAACACCGAUAGCGAAGGCAGCUUGCUGAACCAUUAUUGACGCUGAGGCACGAAAGCGUGGGGAUCAAACAGGAUUAGAAACCCUAGUAGUCC